rnacentral:rRNA from 1 species
GACGAACGCUGGCGGCGUGCCUAAUACAUGCAAGUCGAGCGAAGUUUUUCUGGUGCUUGCACCGGAAAAACUUAGCGGCGAACGGGUGAGUAACACGUAAAGAACCUGCCUCAUAGACUGGGACAACUAUUGGAAACGAUAGCUAAUACCGGAUAACAGCAUUAACUGCAUGGUUGAUGUUUAAAAGUUGGUUUUGCUAACACUAUGAGAUGGCUUUGCGGUGCAUUAGCUAGUUGGUGGGGUAAAGGCCUACCAAGGCGACGAUGCAUAGCCGACCUGAGAGGGUGAUCGGCCACACUGGGACUAAGACACGGCCCAGACUCCUACGGGAGGCAGCAGUAGGGAAUCUUCCGCAAUGGGCGAAAGCCUGACGGAGCAACGCCGCGUGAGUGAAGAAGGAUUUCGGUUCGUAAAGCUCUGUUGUUAGGGAAGAAUGAUUGUGUAGUAACUAUACACAGUAGAGACGGUACCUAACCAGAAAGCCACGGCUAACUACGUG